rnacentral:lncRNA from 1 species
CCCCCCCCCCCCCGCGUUACGAUUUCAGAACGGGGGGGGGGGGGGGGGGUGAGUGUCGGACAAAAAGAUUAACAGAAAAAAAGAAGGAGAAAAAAAAGCGGAGAUGCGGGGCUGACUGAAAUAAACACGUGCGAAAUGACGUCACACUGCGAGGCAGAGGGACAAGGGGCAAGCAAGGGGCAUAAAGAGAACGAGAGGAAAAUACAGAAAUAUCCCUGGGUUGCGGACGACGUGAAAAAUCGACGACGCCUUCCUUCCCCCCGCCUCUGUGCACGGAUUGGCUAAUUUUUGGGUCGAAUCAAGAGAUACAUACAUGUUAUUUGGAAAAAUAUAAUCGGUGCUUAUUGUAACUGCUGCUCGUACCUUGGCGUGAAAAAUGAUUCCGCGAUGAAAAGCCUCCUCGCUGUGAAGCGGUAUUCGCGUGUCGUACUCGUCAUUGUGCACGAGGUUGUACUGCUUCUUCGAGGGCAUGCUUGGCCCAACUUAAACCAAUUGAGCUCGCCUACGUCCGCUUCGAAAUGCAAAAAAUCCAAUGCGUUAGCAAACACCAUUAUAAAACCGACGAAUCUAUCGCAAUUGAUCGAUAUCGAAAUGCGAAAUUUCGUCGUCGUCGUCAUCAUCCCUCGCUACCGCUUUAUUUCCAAUACACACGUUAAAUAAAAUAUAAUAUAGUUAUGAUACCGAGUUUAAUGCGAACCAACGACACGAGUGCCAUGCAACAAAAUUUCCAAUUAUUAAUUCCGGCUGACGAGAGAACGACUACAAUUUCAACGAGUGCGCGGUCUCUGAAUUUGAAAGGCGCGGCGGGCCGCCGCUCAUCACCCGAGUCAUCCUACCUUAUUGCGGAUAUUUGUUAUUUGUAUAUACGUGUAUGGUGAAAGAUAUGAACAAUCAAUAUAUCUAUGCAUUAUUGUACAUAUUCGUUCCAUUGAAACGCGAAACGAUUUUAUGAACGGCGACUUGACUCGAGAAUUUUGUUUAGCGUUCGAGUCCUUGACGAUUCGUACCAGCAUGCGCGCCGCGCGUACGUACAACGUUCUCGGUUCUCGCAUAUGCCUAGAAAAAUGAACAAGCGCGUGAGUUUUUCUCUAGCGAACCAGUAUAUCUUCUCCUCAUACGCACACACGCACGUAUAGUACGUACACACAGAAAACCCCACAAACAAACACGCGUAUAGUAGCCAUGCACACGGGGGGCGGCGAGAAAAACCGAAGGAGAGAAACAUUCACCUUUCCCGCGCGCGAGUGACGCGACGAAUGCUUCAAAAAAACACUGAAAAAUUCGCAAUACUCAAAGAUAUAUUGUUCCGUCAUUUCUAUAAUUAUCAUUGUGGUGCAGCGUUUCUUAUAUACUCUCUAUCCUCGGACCAAAAAUUCCAGCGUAUAUAACAGCGUAAACAACGAAAAAGCAGAUGACGAAAAAAUUAUGCGAAUAAAGUUGAAUAAAUGCUGGCUAAUGUAAUAACUUUGUGAACGGAGCUUUAUGCUUGUAUUUUACUUACACAUUCACGUAGUCGAAGGAAUAAAUUGCCCGCGUUUACCGUGGUGUGGCGCAUCCCGUGUACCAUAACCCCGUCAUUCCGUUUUUUUUUUCUUUCAACACCACUCUUGUAAGGAAUUCGUGAUUACGCACGUGCGGAGAGAGAGAGAGAGAGAGAGAGAGAGAGAGAGAGAGAGAGAGAGAGAGAGAGAGAGAGAGAGAGAGAGAGCGCACCGUCCCC